UCUUCUUCUUCUUCUUCUUCUUGACCUUCUUUAUUCUCUGCAAUUUUUGUGUAAUUGAGUUUUAGAUUUCCAAUUCUUGCUUGUUCAUACUUCAACUUGCCGCUGUUUCCUUUCCCGCCUCUUUUUCAAGGUGUUUCUGCAAUUUGAAAGCGUGGAGAUUUCCAAAAGAUUCGAUUUUUGCCUCUUCUGUGCAUCAGUUCUUGGGUUCUCUCAGGUACCCAUCAUUAAAUUUUUGCUUUUUAUGCCUUUUUUUUUUGCACUUAUUAUUUAUGAAUUACAAAAACAUUGUGUUUUAUUAAGCCUAUGUAUUUUGCAGUAAAAUUUUUAUUUUUGUAUAAAAGGAAAGCACUGCGAAAGCAAUCUCAAACAGUAAUGGUUGCUGAUACAUGUGGUUCUCCUAGCUACCCGAAUAAAGUGGUGUUCCUUGAAUUAGUGAAGAGCCUUUACACGUAUUAGAAAAUAAUUGUCUUUGAGAUAAUUUUUUAGUUUUUAGAUGCAGUUAGCCAGUCAUGCUUGGCCUAUAAUCAGCUUGUUUAACAAUUAACCUCGUUUCAAAAAAAAAAAAAGGGUUUAACCUAUUCGAACAUGGCAUAUUUUGGUCCAUAAAUGAACUUAUAUUUUAGUGGAAUCAAAAUGAUUUGUGAAUUAUUUCUUCAAGAAAAGAAAAUAUUUUCAAGGCUGAUUGUGGCUGGGAUGAGAGUGCCGACUAGCAUGAUGUGACAGGUAUCCAGUGGAUGAAUAGCAUUAAAAUUGCACUUUAUUGUUGAAGUGCAAUGACAAAUAUGGCCCUUUUUCCUGCGCUUUUCCCUCGAAUUGUUUCAUUGGAAAUUCCUUUUGUAACAUACCAAGUCCAUUUGGAUAAAUAUUUUGUCAUGUAACAUGGAAAACAAAGGUAUUAUCUCUUCAAAUUGAUCUCCUAGCAAACCUUUCUGUUUCACAUGAAUUCUUUUUCCCAUGAAUAUUCUCCUUCCCUCUAUGAAUAUUCGUUCUUGGUUUUAUUAGUAAUUGUGUAGUGAUUGGCUAGGUGGAUCACUUGGAGAAGAAUUCUGUUUGAAAGGGCAGAAAGAGAGAAAAUUACUUACAAGACAAGUAUGUUCUAUGGGCUAUAAUCUUAAGACAUCUUGGAGAUUAGCUGAAUUGGACAACCAAAACAUUCCUCACAUUGCACAAACUACUGUGUCUAGUUGCUUAGGAGUGCAACAGGCUACAGGGCAUUGCUCAGUAGACUUAAAAUUAGGGAAUUCAAGUGAUUUGGAGGACAAGUUGGAAAAAUUUGCAGGUCCAGAGGACUCUUUAAUGGAGUCAUCAUCGUCUGGAUCAUCGAAAAGAGUUCGGACACCUUCCGGUGCAAACCAAGUCCCUACGUGCUUGGUUGAUGGAUGCACUUCAGAUCUUAGCAAAUGCAGGGACUAUCAUCGACGACAUAAAGUAUGUGAGCUCCACUCCAAGACCCCUAAGGUUUUUAUUAAAGGUCAGGAGCAGCGGUUUUGCCAGCAGUGCAGCAGGUAAGAACCAACAUGCUUUGAAGGUAGAAUUCUUUGAAUUUCAGCUAUUCCUCAGCUGCCCUUUUAGCUUGAUUAACCUUGUUUUUAAUUAUAGGGGCUUAAAUUGAAGAGUGGCGUUCUUUUUUGGGUUGCAAUGUAUUCUUAGGGUCAGUUUAGCAAUGUUGUUGGAGCUGCAGUUUUCCUAAAUAUAUUAGUCAGAGAAUAUUAAAAAUUAAUUUAUAAUUAAAUUUUGACAUAUUUUAGUAAAAGAAAACCAAAUAAUAAAAAAUUAUUUUUUAACAGCAUCUAAAUGGUGCUUUUUCUGAAAAGUUGUUGUUGUUGUUUUUUUUUUAUUAUUAUCUCUUCAGAAAAGCCCUUUUUUUGGCCCCUAAAACUAAAAGCUCAAUGCCAAAUGAGCCCUUACGGCCUCCAGAUUCUUGACGUUCUCCAUUAGAUUCACAGAUGUGGAAAAACUUAUAUAAGCUUUAAAUUUUAGAUGCAGUAAUCUUAGUUCAGGCAUUCUUAGCGUUACAUAUGAAAGUGUUCUGACCUCUGCAGCAUCUCUUGCAUUAUGUGGUAGUUACGUUCACAAAAAAGGUUGUUUUUUUUUUUUAAUUUUAUUUUUAAUUUUUUUUUAAUCAAAGGAUUCACAAUAAAGUUAGUUACCACCCAAUGGACUUUCAGUAUGCUAUAUGCUUGGUUACCAUGAAAAAAGAUAGCAACUCAUUGGCUUUGAUGUGAUUGUGAAAAGUGAUGCAGCAAAUAAUGCUUUGCCAUUAAGGAGAAGACCAUAAGAUCACAGUCAUGGUCUUCAAAGAGGGACAUUUCCUUAAAUAGUUCCAGUUUGACUACUGUUCUUUAAUGCAUGUGCUUUGUUGGCAUUUAUCUUGAGUUGCCAGGGAAAGUAAAUAUGAAUGUAAAUAAUAUGAUAAUACUAGUUGGUCUAAAGGUCAAAAACAAAAUUAUGUUGUAAUUCAGAUGAUUGAUUGGAUGCUGCUUAGUUAAAAUGGACAGAAACAAGGAAUGAGAGAAGGAUCUUAUCACUACUCAUCCCCAAGAGAUAAUAUUUUGUUUGCCAAAUUUCUUCAGCACUCGUAAAAUUUUUGUUGCUCUGAAUGCCUCUAUGAUAGGUUCCAUUCUUUGGUGGAGUUUGACGAGGGAAAGCGAAGCUGCAGGAAACGUCUUGAUGGACAUAACCGGCGUCGAAGGAAGCCUCAACCUGAUUCUCUGUCUGUAAAUUCUGCAAGGUUGUUGUCCAAUCGCCAAGGUUCGAUUUUCAUCUUCAAGUAAUUUCUGUUGCGCACUUAUCUCUUGUUCCCUGUUCAGUGAACUUUUUUCUCUUUAACCAUCAAAUUGGAAUACACAAAACUACAUUGCAGGUACUAGAUAUCUGCGGUUUGGUGGCUCCCAAAUGUUUUCUACCAGUCCUGAGAGCACUGCAUGGAAUGGUGCAGUCAAACCCGAGAAUGAUCCAAUGCUUUACACAAGCCAAUCCUCACUUGACUUCAGCAGCGGAAAAAACCUUUUUCCUGGCUCCCUAUCUCAUGGCUAUAGAAGUGGAAAGCAGUUCCCAUUCUUACAAUGCACUAGUUCUGCACUCCUUGGAGAAUCUGUCUGUCAAAGUAUUUUCAAUGCUGAUUCCACCUUAGGCAGUACCUGCAGCAGCCAAAAAAUGUUCUCUGAUGGGCCAAAUCGAUUCCUUGACUCGAACCGUGCUCUCUCUCUUCUGUCAUCUCAGUCCCAUAAUUAUUCAAGCCAUUCAUCCGGAAUUUCUAUGGCCUGUCCAUUGGUUGUUCCAGGAAGCAGUACCCAUUAUAGUGUGACUCAAGUCUCUGAAAAGCUUACAGGAGUUAGUUCUCAGGCUUCCACAAGCGGGGUACCAAACAAUUUCUCUUCAUCAGGAACGAGUUCUGCAGAAGUAAGCCACUUAGGCUCCAUACCGAUAUCUGAUGGUAGUGAUGCCAUUAAUUUUGAUAUCACUGAUGGGAUUUACCAGGGGUCAAAUUUUAUGAAUGCCAAGGAUCAUCUUUCCUGUGAAGAUG
rnacentral:misc_RNA from 1 species